rnacentral:rRNA from 1 species
UACGGAGGAUCCAAGCGUUAUCCGGAAUCAUUGGGUUUAAAGGGUCCGUAGGUGGACGAUUAAGUCAGGGGUGAAAGUCUGCAGCUCAACUGUAGAAUUGCCCUUGAUACUGGUUGUCUUGAAUCAUUGUGAAGUGGUUAGAAUAUGUAGUGUAGCGGUGAAAUGCAUAGAUAUUACAUAGAAUACCAAUUGCGAAGGCAGCUUACUACAUAGUUAUUGACACUGAGGCACGAAAGCGUGGGGAUCAAACAGG